rnacentral:rRNA from 1 species
AGAGUUUGAUCAUGGCUCAGAUUGAACGCUGGCGGCAUGCCUUACACAUGCAAGUCGAACGGUAACGCGGGGCAACCUGGCGACGAGUGGCGAACGGGUGAGUAACGCAUCGGAACGUGCCCAAUAGUGGGGGAUAGCCCGGCGAAAGCCGGAUUAAUACCGCAUACGACCUACGGGUGAAAGCGGGGGAUCGGAAGACCUCGCGCUAUUGGAGCGGCCGAUGUCGGAUUAGCUAGUUGGUGGGGUAAAGGCCUACCAAGGCUACGAUCCGUAGCUGGUCUGAGAGGACGACCAGCCACACUGGGACUGAGACACGGCCCAGACUCCUACGGGAGGCAGCAGUGGGGAAUAUUGGACAAUGGGGGCAACCCUGAUCCAGCGACGCCGCGUGUGUGAAGAAGGCCUGCGGGUUGUAAAGCACUUUUAGUGGGGAUGAAAAGCCUAGGGAUAACACCCUUGGGUCUUGACCUAACCCACAGAAAAAGCACCGGCUAACUCUGUGCCAGCAGCCGCGGUAAU